ACAGAAGAUGGAGAAAAUAAUUAGUACUUUAGUUCUAGACUCCGAAGCCACCAGGUGGAGCACUAGUAGGCAUAGUAACGUUACAGCAGGAAGGUCAGUGUGUUGAACAACAGAUCGACCCUAAGCCAAUCUGUGGGGACUUGUUCUUUUCUCCAUGUUCUCCAGCUUUCAGCUCUCACUCUUAGAACCUGCCGUAGGUGGAGAAGGUUGUUUGGAGACCAGGGUGUGGACGGUUGUUUGAGAGUCUAUGUUCAGUUACAAAGUUACUGUCCCAAAGUGUGUGCUUCAUUAGAUCAGUCCAAUUGUGUGUUUUUAUUUCUUUUUCAGAUUCUUUAUUUGCCGUUGACUUGACUGGCAGCCAGACUGAGUGAUCUGCCGUGUUCCCAGCAGCAUAACAGCGGACACACUCAGACUUCCUGUCACACACAUUAGUGUGUCACCACAAGAUCAACUGUUUCCACCCAGGCAGAUGAGUCAGAAGCCUGUGGUCUUUGCUGUGUGUCUGACCUGUGGACUGGAAGACCCCUGGGUUGCACUGACAGUACCGGGAGGCGAAGGCCUCCAUCAUUCUGUCAAUCUUCUGGGCUUCACCUGGUAAACGGAAGCUCCACAGGAACUGCCUGUCAGAGACACAAGACACCACCGGAUUAGAACGUUCCACAUGUGGUCGUAGAUGAGACUGCAGGAUAACUGUGUGGAAAAUUCAUCAGCCUUUAUUGGAGUGCUGGUGUGUGAGUGCAGAUAAGCUGCCUGGGCCUCUGUUUCCGUGGUUUACAGCAUGUAAGUCCACAUAAAGUACUGCAGUAAAAGCAGCACAUAUGAAGGUUCGAAGUACUAGAUGUAACGACUAUAUAAAUACAUGUUUUUCUAGUUUUACAGUUUAAACAGUCCUUGGUUCAAUAGGCAGGAAAAGUGAAGCAGUGGAGAAGAAGUUGCAGUUACACUGUUGAAUGACUGGUUUUUUUCAGUUAUUUCACAGAAGGACUCAAAUAUUUUUUUAAUUUAAUAUUUAAGGAAGGGAAUACUGAAUGAUUCAUCAUUCCUGUGUUUCUGAUCCUGUUUAGAGGAAAACAGAUUAUGACUGCAGGAGUCCCUACUUGUCAGCUCGCCCCCUAGAGGUCACAACCAGUUGACAACCAAGAUGGCUGCUCAUGGCAUGUAAGUAAGAGUUGUGUUUUAACUAGUACUGGUCAACACUGCACUGUUUGACUGGUUGGUUAGAACCAGGUAAACUAUGACAAACUCCUGUGGAGAUUUACUGAAGAUUAAUUAAGGGCACUUAAAAAAAUUGAAUCAGGGUCAGGGGUCAAACUAGGUCAAUACACAGACCAUGAAAACAUCAUCAUUUUGAUGACAUGUCAGCUGAGGGUCGACCUGGAUUUGAAUGCGUCCGC